rnacentral:misc_RNA from 1 species
GAUGAAGAACGUAGCGAAACGCGAUAGUUAAUGUGAAUUGCAGAAUUCAGUGAAUCAUCGAGUCUUUGAACGCACAUUGCGCCCCCUGGUAUUCCGGGGGGCAUGCCUGUCCGAGCGUCAUUGCUGCCCAUCAAGCGCGGCUUGUGUGUUGGGCCGCCGUCCGCCUUCCCCCCCGGGGGGAGGGGGACGGGCCCGAAAGGCAGCGGCGGCACCGCGUCCGGUCCUCGAGCGUAUGGGGCUCUGUCACCCGCUCUGGAGGCCCGGCCGGCGCCCGCCGACCCCCAACCUUCUUCUAACCAGGUUGACCUCGGAUCAGGCAGGGAUACCCGCUGAACUUAAGCAUAUCAAUAAGCGGAGGA